UACGUAGGUGGCGAGCGUUGUCCGGAUUUACUGGGCGUAAAGGGAGCGUAGGCGGAUUUUUAAGUGAGAUGUGAAAUACUCGGGCCCAACUUGAGUGCUGCAUUUCAAACUGGAAGUCUAGAGUGCAGGAGAGGAGAAUGGAAUUCCUAGUGUAGCGGUGAAAUGCGUAGAGAUUAGGAAGAACACCAGUGGCGAAGGCGAUUCUCUGGACUGUAACUGACGCUGAGGCUCGAAAGCGUGGGGAGCAAAUAGG
rnacentral:rRNA from 1 species